UACGGAGGUGGCAAGCGUUGCUCGGAAUCACUGGGCGUAAAGGGCGCGUAGGCGGGGAGGUAAGUCGGGUGUGAAAUCCCUCGGCCCAACCGAGGAACUGCGCCCGAGACUGCUUCUCUUGAGUCCCGGAGAGGAAGAUGGAAUUCCCGGUGUAGCGGUGAAAUGCGUAGAUAUCAAGAGGAACACCUGCGGCGAAGGCGGGUUGCUGGGCCGACACUGACGCUGAUGCGCGAAAGCUAGGGGAGCAAACGGG
rnacentral:rRNA from 1 species